rnacentral:lncRNA from 1 species
GGAUUAGAUUCUGAUGCAAAUAAAAUUCCAUUUCACCCCUACUACACUAUCAAAGGAAUCAUAGGCCUCUUCUUUUUAUUCUUUUAUCCCCAUAAUCUUAAUCUUAUUUCCCCCUCAUUGCUUAGGAGACCCUGACCAUUAUACUCCAGGCAGACUAUUCAACCACUCCCCACAUUAAACCUGAGUAAUAUUUCCUAUUGCCUCCACUAUCUUCCAUCUCUCCCCAUCAAACUAGAAGGUGUGGUAGCUUGGUCCUCUCAAUUCUCACCUUGACUUUCCUUCCAUUUCCUCCCCAUCUCAAAACAACGCAGUCUCACAUCCCAUCCACUCACCCAGUCCCUAUACUGAAUCCUGGUUGCUGAUCUACUCAUCCUCACAUGAACUGGUGGGCAACCAACAGAACCCCCAUUCAUUACUAUUGGCCAAUUACACUCCAUUAUUUCUUUCUCUGUUUUCCUAAUUUUAAUACCUAUUUCUGGCCUAUUGAAAAUAAAAUGUUUAAAU